rnacentral:rRNA from 1 species
CGGCAUGCUUUACACAUGCAAGUCGAACGGCAGCACGGGAGCAAUCCUGGUGGCGAGUGGCGAACGGGUGAGUAAUAUAUCGGAACGUGCCCGGUCGUGGGGGAUAACGUAGCGAAAGCUACGCUAAUACCGCAUACGAUCUACGGAUGAAAGCGGGGGAUCGCAAGACCUCGCGCGAUUGGAGCGGCCGAUAUCAGAUUAGGUAGUUGGUGAGGUAAAGGCUCACCAAGCCGACGAUCUGUAGCUGGUCUGAGAGGACGGCCAGCCACACUGGGACUGAGACACGGCCCAGACUCCUACGGGAGGCAGCAGUGGGGAAUUUUGGACAAUGGGCGCAAGCCUGAUCCAGCAAUGCCGCGUGCAGGAUGAAGGCCUUCGGGUUGUAAACUGCUUUGUACGGAACGAAACGGUGAGCUCUAAUACAGUUUGCUAAUGACGGUACCGUAAGAAUAAGCACCGGCUAACUACGUG